UACGAAGGGGGCUAGCGUUGUUCGGAAUUACUGGGAGUAAGCGCACGUAGGCGGAUAUUUAAGUCAGGGGUGAAAUCGCAGCUCAACUGCGGAACUGCCUUUGAUACUGGGUAUCUUGAGUAUGGAAGAGGUAAGUGGAAUUCCGAGUGUAGAGGUGAAAUUCGUAGAUAUUCGGAGGAACACCAGUGGCGAAGGCGGCUUACUGGUCCAUUACUGACGCUGAGGUGCGAAAGCGUGGGGAGCAAACAGG
rnacentral:rRNA from 1 species